GACGAACGCUGGCGGCGUGCUUAACACAUGCAAGUCGAACGGAAAGGCCCUGCUUGCAGGGUACUCGAGUGGCGAACGGGUGAGUAACACGUGGGUGAUCUGCCCUGCACUUCGGGAUAAGCCUGGGAAACUGGGUCUAAUACCGGAUAGGAGCCAUUUUUAGUGUGAUGGUUGGAAAGUUUUUUCGGUGUAGGCUGAGCUCGCGGCCUAUCGGCUUGUUGGUGGGGUAAUGGCCUACCAAGGCGGCGGCGGGUAGCCGGCCUGAGAGGGUGGACGGCCACAUUGGGACUGAGAGACGGCCCAGACUCCUACGGGAGGCAGCAGGGGGGAAGAUUGCACAAUGGGCGCAAGCCUGAUGCAGCGACGCCGCGUGGGGGAGGACGGCCUUCGGGUUGUAAACUCCGUUCGCUAGGGACGAAGCUUUUUGUGACGGUACCUAGAGAAGAAGCACCGGCUAACUACGUG
rnacentral:rRNA from 1 species